UACGGAGGGUGCAAGCGUUGUCCGGAUUUACUGGGUUUAAAGGGUGCGUAGGCGGACCUGUAAGUCAGUGGUGAAAUCUUGAGGCUUAACCUCAAAAUGGCCAUUGAUACUGCUGGUCUUGAGUUCGCGUGAGGUGGUUAGAAUGCGUGGUGUAGCGGUGAAAUGCUUAGAUAUCACGCAGAAUACCGAUUGCGAAGGCAGAUCACUAACGCGUAACUGACGCUGAGGCACGAAAGCGUGGGGAGCAAACAGG
rnacentral:rRNA from 1 species